rnacentral:tRNA from 4 species
GCCAGUGUGGUGGAAUUGGUAGACACGCCGGAUUCAAAAUCCGGUUCCUUCACGGGAGUGCCGGUUCGAGCCCGGCCACUGGUACCA